rnacentral:rRNA from 1 species
UACGUAGGGGACUAGCGUUGUUCGGAAUCACUGGGCGUAAAGCGCACGUAGGCGGAUUCGUAAGUCAGGGGUGAAAUCCCGGGGCUCAACCUCGGAACUGCCUUUGAUACUGCGGGUCUUGAGUCCGAUAGAGGUGGGUGGAAUUCCUAGUGUAGAGGUGAAAUUCGUAGAUAUUAGGAAGAACACCGGUGGCGAAGGCGGCCCACUGGAUCGGUACUGACGCUGAGGUGCGAAAGCGUGGGGAGCGAACAGG